rnacentral:rRNA from 1 species
CCUACGGGUGGCAGCAGUGGGGAAUAUUGCACAAUGGGGGAAACCCUGAUGCAGCAAUGCCGCGUGAAGGAUGAAGGUUUUCGGAUUGUAAACUUCUUUUGUACGGGACAAAGAAAGUGACGGUACCGUAAGAAUAAGCCACGGCUAACUACGUGCUAGCAGCCGCGGUAAUACGUAGGUGGCAAGCGUUAUUCGGAUUUACGGGGUGUAAAGGGCGAGUAGGAGGGAUUGCAAGUCAGAUGUGAAAACUAUGGGCUCAACCGAUAGAGGGCAUGUGAUACUGCAGUUCUUGAGUGAUGGAGAGGCAGGCGGAAUGCCCGGUGUAGCGGUGGAAUGCGUAGAUAGCGGGAGGAACACCAGUGGCGAAGGCGGGCUGCUGGACAUUAACUGACGCUGAGGCGCGAAGGCGUGGGGAGCGAACAGGAUUAGAUACCCUAGUAGUC